rnacentral:tRNA from 3 species
GCGGGCGUGGCGGAAUUGGUAGACGCACCAGAUUUAGGUUCUGGCGCCGCAAGGUGUGGGAGUUCGAGUCUCCCCGCCCGCACCA